GGCCUAUGUGGCGUCAGGUGGGAAUGAACUUUGGGGCCUAAUUGUCACAAAAACCUGGACUUUAGAAUCAGUCUGAGUUGAAAUCUUGGUCCCAACACUUGCCAGCUGUGUAACCUUAGACAAAAGAUGGCCUUCUGCAUACCAGCAAGUGGGCCCUUAUAAGACACCAAAUCUGCCAGCAUCUUGAUCUUGGACUUCCUAGCUUCCAGAACUCAUUUACCUGUCAGGGGGCAUCUGGUCUCAGACCACAGAUAUAGCUUUUAAUGGCCUAAGCAGAAGAAGAAUUUAUUAGAAGAUUACAGCUUUCUGUGGC